GACGAACGCUGGCGGCGUGCUUAACACAUGCAAGUCGAACGGAAAGGCCCUGCUUUUGUGGGGUGCUCGAGUGGCGAACGGGUGAGUAACACGUGAGUAACCUGCCCUUGACUUUGGGAUAACUUCAGGAAACUGGGGCUAAUACCGGAUAGGAGCUCCUGCUGCAUGGUGGGGGUUGGAAAGUUUCGGCGGGUGGGGAUGGGCGCAUGGCUUAUCAGCUUGUGGGUGAGGUAGUGGCUUACCAAGGCUUUGGUCGGUAGCCGGCCUGAGAGGGCGACCAGCCACACUGGGACUGAGACACGGCCCAGACGCCUACGGGAGGCAGCAGUGGGGAAUUUUGGACAAUGGGCGAAAGCCUGAUCCAGCCAUGCCGCGUGCAGGAUGAAGGCCUUCGGGUUGUAUACUGCUUUUGUACGGAACGAAACGGUCUUUUCUAAUAAAGAAGGCUAAUGACGGUACCUUAAGAAUAAGCACCGGCUAACUACGUG
rnacentral:rRNA from 1 species